rnacentral:rRNA from 1 species
GACGAACGCUGGCGGCGUGCUUAACACAUGCAAGUCGAACGGAAAGGCCCUGCUUUUGUGGGGUGCUCGAGUGGCGAACGGGUGAGUAACACGUGAGUAACCUGCCCUUGACUUUGGGACAACUUCAGGAAACUGGGGCUAAUACCGGAUAGGAGCUCCUGCUGCAUGGUGGGGGUUGGAAAGUUUCGGCGGUUGGGGAUGGACUCGCGGCUUAUCAGCUUGUUGGUGGGGUAGUGGCUUACCAAGGCUUUGACGGGUAGCCGGCCUGAGAGGGUGACCGGCCACAUUGGGACUGAGAUACGGCCCAGACUCCUACGGGAGGCAGCAGUGGGGAAUAUUGCACAAUGGGCGGAAGCCUGAUGCAGCAACGCCGCGUGCGGGUUGACGGCCUUCGGGUUGUAAACCGCUUUCGCCUGUGACGAAGCGUGAGUGACGGUAAUGGGUAAAGAAGCACCGGCUAACUACGUG